AGAAUCAACGCUGGCGGCGUGUCUAACACAUGCAAGUCGAACGCGAAAGGGACUUCGGUCCUGAGUAGAGUGGCGAGCGGGUGAGUAACGCGUGGGUGACCUACCCUCGAGUGGGGGAUAACGUUCCGAAAGGGACGCUAAUACCGCAUGACAUUCCGGGUUUGAAGACCUGGAAAUCAAAGCCGGGGACCGCAAGGCCUGGCGCUAGAGGAGGGGCCCGCGUCUGAUUAGCUAGUUGGCGGGGUAAUGGCCCACCAAGGCGACGAUCAGU
rnacentral:rRNA from 1 species